rnacentral:rRNA from 1 species
CCUACGGGUGGCAGCAGUGGGGAAUAUUGCACAAUGGGGGAAACCCUGAUGCAGCAACGCCGCGUGGGUGAAGAAGUAUUUCGGUAUGUAAAGCUCUAUCAGCAGGGAAGAAGAUGACGGUACCUGACUAAGAAGCCCCGGCUAACUACGUGCCAGCAGCCGCGGUCAUACGUAGGGGGCAAGCGUUAUCCGGAUUUACUGGGUGUAACGGGAGCGUAGACGGUGAGACAAGUCUGAAGUGAAAGCCCGGGGCUCAACCCCGGGACUGCUUUGGAAACUGGCGGACUGGAGUGCUGGAGAGGCAAGCGGAAUUCCUAGUGUAGCGGUGAAAGGCGUAGAUAUUAGGAAGAACACCAGUGGCGAAGGCGGCUUGCUGGACAGUAACUGACGUUGAGGCUCGAAAGCGUGGGGAGCAAACAGGAUUAGAUACCCCUGUAGUC